GGGCCACACCCAAGGCUUAUGGAGGUUCCCAGGCUAGGGGUCAAAUCGGAUCUGUGGCUGCCGGUCUACACACAGCCACAGCAACUUGGGAUCUGAGCUGCAUAUGCAACGUACACCACAGCUCAGGGCAGUGCUGGAUCCUUAACCCACUGAGCGAGGCCAGGGAUUCAACCUGCAUCCUCAUGGAUCCCAGUCAGAUUUGUUUCCGCUGAGCCACGAUGGAAACUCCCCAAUGUCACUUUGUAAUACUUCCCCAGUACUUCAUGGCAGAGUUAGUUAUGCCAUCCUCUGUAAAUAAAUGAUCCUAUAUGAUUCUAAAAUUCCUCACUCUCAUCAAAAAAAUUGUUACACAUAAGGCAGUAUGAAUGUUUAUACAAUCUGGUUUAUGCAAAAUUUGCAAGUAUCAUCGGUUUCCCUGCACAGAUAAAGUAUUAACUGUUUCAUUCAUUCAUUACAUAAAUAUGAAGCACGUGCCAUAUGGUAAGGCAUGUUCUAGGUGCUAAGCAUAAAGCAGUAAGACAGAAGUCUCAGGAGUUCCCUUGUGGUCUAGUGGUUAGGAUUCAGAGCUUUUACUGCAACAGUCUGGGUUCAAUUUCUGGUCUGGGAACUGAGUGAGAUCCCACAUCGAGUGGCUGUAUGCCAUGGCCAAAAUAUGAAAACAGAAAAAGACAAAACAUCGUAAAUUUAUUGCAGAACUCAUUUACUAGAAAAGAUGGAAGACGAGAUUUGUUUUAAAUAAACACACACAAAAAAUAAUUCUUGAAUAAACGAAAAAAAUUUUAAAUCCCUUAAAGCUGAAAGGAAUUUUGCCCUUCUUCAUGCCCUUGUUAUCAACAUGCUUAUUGUUAUUAUAAGAACGGAGAGUGCAAUUGCAGUACGUCUUACCAAUCCAGGGGAAUUAGAGGGUAAGCAUAAAUUACCAAAAGUAUCUGCAUUUAAAGAAUUUUAGAGAAAAAUAAAAUUUUUAACCUUUAUAAGACAUGAACACCAAUUGCUAAAAAAACUGUUUCCACAAACAGGCACCACCAUACCUACUUUUUUUGAAAUGAGUAUAUGUUGGAAUUGGUAUUUAAGCAGAUGUUGUUCACUUUCUGUAGGCUUUUUUUUUUUUUUUUUUUUUUUUUGUCCUUUCAGGGCCACACCCCCUGCAUAUGGAAGUUUCUAGGUAGGGGUUGAAUCAGAGCUGCAGUCGCCAGUCUACACCACAGCCACAGCAACGCCAGAUCUGAGCCUUAUCUGCGACCUAAACCACAACUCAUGGCAACACCAGAUCCUUAAUCCGCUAAUUGAGGCCAGAGAUGGAACUCACAUCCUCAUGGAUACUAGUUGUUUGUUACUGCUGAGCCACAAUGGGAACUCCUCAAUAGGCUUUUUAAAAGUUUGUUUCUUCGAACUGGUUAUAUAACCCCCCCAGCAAUCCUGAGUAUGUUAAACCCAGCACCCUAAGCUUUUAAAUGCUCAAUAUACAUUUUUAGUGUAAUUGUUAUAGUACUGAUAUGCUUGAUCAACUGCUUUUUAUGGGAAGAUGUUCACAAAUCACCAAACAUUUUAAGUACCGGAGUAUGAGUUGAGAAGACUAUGUUAUGUCUACUCCUAAAGAAGAGGAAGCUAUCAGCACAGCUGAGUAAGAGAGCUGGAGUUCCCACCUCUCUUCCCACCCCAACAGGGGUUAAACUCACAUUCCAAAAGACUGGCUCUUCUGUAGGAUGCCUUAACCUCUGUUUCAGUCUCAGAAGCUCAGUCGUAGAAUUUUUGAGGACCAAAAGCCACCUUUCCCCCAAACACCAAAAGCAUUUUCACAAAAAUAUUCUUCUGCCACAUGCUCCCCUCUACUCCUCACACCCACCCCUCCCGGCUCACUCAUUCUCAGUACCCUGCUCAGGAGCCACCUCUUCUGAGAACAUUCGGUGGCACUCACCCCCACCAAGAUGGCGAGGCACCCUCCUAAACACUCUCAUAAUACUCCAUCCGUGUCCCCAUCACGGCACUGACACACUGAACUAGGACACUUUCCUUGUCUAUUCCCUCGGAAUACAAGUUCCUUGAGAUCAGGGUCUAUGAGGGGAUCACUGGUGUCUUCCCAGCCACCAUGGCAUGGAAGGCACACCACCGCUAGAGAAUCAAGGAAGAUCUUUCACUUGUCUUCUCCCCUCUUUACUUUUUAUUUAUUUAUUUGUUUGUCUGUCUGUUUGUUUGAGAAACAGGGUAGGAAAUUUCAAAUGCAAUGUAACUAAAAAUGCAGCAUUUCAUAAAUGAAAAAACUAGAUCCUUCACAUGAGGAGGUCAUAGGGAAAGCCUCAAAGGAACAAGCCCAGCUCUACAUCAAGACAUAUUUUUGGCUUAUUACUUAGAAUUCUUCCUAUUAAAAUUUAAUGCAGUCUUCUCUAGCAGUUCAUUUUGUCUGCCAAGUCCUUUAUGACUAUUUUGAUAAGUUAUUUAUUACCUAUGGAUGCCACAGUGAUAAGCAGAUAGCAUAAGCAAGAGCUCAGGGGACAGAGAGAAAGGGCCACGUCCACUCCUGAUCAGUUGAGGCUAAAUUGUUAGAUCCUAUGACAAGCCAUUAUCACCAAGCACUGGCCUGAAUGACAGAGCAUCCUGGUA
rnacentral:lncRNA from 1 species